AUGCAGAGAGACACAGACGCUUCUAGAAAUACCAGACAGACACACUCUUCUGGAAUACUCGGGCAGAGACAGAAAGAUGAAUACUCAGCGACAGACCGACAGACUGCAAUCACUGAGAGAAACCGACAGACUCAUCUAAAUACCGGAGAGAGACAGACGGGCAGACUACUCAGAGAGAGACAGACGGGCAGACUACUCAGAGAGAGACAGACGGGCGGACUACUCGAGAGGAGACAGACGGGCGGACUGCUCGGAGAGAGGCAGACGGGCGGACUACUCCGAGGGAGGCAGACGGGCGGACUACUCGAGGGAGGCAGACGGGCGGACUACUCCGAGGGAGGCAGGCGGGCGGACUACUCCGAGGGAGGCAGGCGGCGGACUACUCCGAGGAGGCAGGCGGGCGGACUACCCGAGGGAGGCAGGCGGGCGGACUACUCCGAGGGAGGCAGGCGGCCGGACUACUCCGAGGGAGGCAGGCGACCGGACUUCUCCGAGGGAGGCAGACGGGCGGACUUCUCCAGGGAGGCAGACGGGCGGACUUCUCCGAGGGAGGCAGACGGGCGGACUACUCCGAGGGAGGCAGAGGGCGGACUACUACUACUCCGAGGGAGGCAGACGGGCGGACUACUCCGAGGGAGGCAGCAGGCGGACUACUCCGAGGAGGCAGACAGGCGGACUACUCCGAGGGAGGCAGACAGGCGACUACUCCGAGGGAGGCAGACAGGCGGACUACUCCGAGGGAGGCAGACAGGGGACUACUCCGAGGGAGGCAGACAGGCGGACUACUCGAGGGAGGCAGACAGGCGACUACUCCGAGGGAGGCAGACAGGCGGACUACUGAGGGAGGCAGACAGGCGGACUACUCCGAGGGAGGGCAGACAGGCGGACUACUCCGAGGGAGGCAGACAGGCGACAACUCGAGGGAGGCAGACAGGCGGACUACCCCGAGGGAGGCAGACAGGCGGACUACUCCGAGGGAGGCAGACAGGCGGACUACUCCGAGGGAGGCAGACAGGCGGACUACUCUCCGAGGGAGGCAGACAGGCGGACUACUCCGAGGGAGGCAGACAGCGGACUACCCGAGGGAGGCAGACAGGCGGACUACUCCGAGGGAGGCAGACAGGCGGACUACUCUGA
rnacentral:lncRNA from 1 species